rnacentral:rRNA from 1 species
AGUGAGCGCUGGCGGUAGGCCUAACACAUGCAAGUCGAACGGCAGCACAGUAAGAGCUUGCUCUUACGGGUGGCGAGUGGCGGACGGGUGAGGAAUACAUCGGAAUCUACUUUUUCGUGGGGGAUAACGUAGGGAAACUUACGCUAAUACCGCAUACGACCUACGGGUGAAAGCAGGGGAUCUUCGGACCUUGCGCGAUUGAAUGAGCCGAUGUCGGAUUAGCUAGUUGGCGGGGUAAAGGCCCACCAAGGCGACGAUCCGUAGCUGGUCUGAGAGGAUGAUCAGCCACACUGGAACUGAGACACGGUCCAGACUCCUACGGGAGGCAGCAGUGGGGAAUAUUGGACAAUGGGCGCAAGCCUGAUCCAGCCAUACCGCGUGGGUGAAGAAGGCCUUCGGGUUGUAAAGCCCUUUUGUUGGGAAAGAAAAGCAGCAGGUUAAUACCCCGCUGUCCUGACGGUACCCAAAGAAUAAGCACCGGCUAACUUCGUG